rnacentral:rRNA from 1 species
AUUGAACGCUGGCGGCAUGCCUUACACAUGCAAGUCGAACGGCAGCGGGCCCUUCGGGGUGCCGGCGAGUGGCGAACGGGUGAGUAAUGCAUCGGAACGUACCCGGGAGAGGGGGAUAACCGGCCGAAAGGCUGGCUAAUACCGCAUGAACUCGGAAGAGCAAAGCGGGGGACCUUCGGGCCUCGCGCUCUCGGAGCGGCCGAUGUCCGAUUAGGCUAGUUGGUGGGGUAAAGGCCCACCAAGGCGACGACCGGUAGCGGGUCUGAGAGGACGAUCCGCCACACUGGGACUGAGACACGGCCCAGACUCCUACGGGAGGCAGCAGUGGGGAAUCUUGGACAAUGGGCGCAAGCCUGAUCCAGCAAUGCCGCGUGAGUGAAGAAGGCCUUCGGGUUGUAAAGCCCUUUCGGCGGGGAAGAAAUCGGUCAGGCGAAUAGUCUGGCCGGAUGACGGUACCCGCAGAAGAAGCACCGGCUAACUACGUG